CUUACAGAAGUAGCUGCUGGGCAGUUGCAAUUUUAGAACAGAGUUCCUUUAUAUACGAAUGCUUUUUUUUUUUAAUGCUUGUUCUAAAGUGGAUCUGAUCUCGUGAGGUAAGGGAGAGACUUGCUUCUGAAGCAGAAAGGGUAGCAAACAGGUAGAUAAGAAAUUAAUGCAGAAGCACACAAUUACAAACUUGCACAACUCCAGCAAGCACGUUCACAAGAGCAUUAUGCUGACAUCAUAAAAACAUUGGCAGAAGGCAUUGUUUGGUCUGAGAGGAAACACAAGUCAGGUAAUUCACAUCCUUUUAAGGUUGGAAGUGAAAAACAGACUACAGAAUGACAGGAGAAAGGAAAAUGCUGGUUUUCAUGGCUUCAUCACUGUUGAACAGAGCAGCCUUAGGUUGGGUCAUUUCUUUGUGCCGGAGGACUUUUCAAAGGAUGCUGAAGCUUUCAUACUACACGGCUUACAGUGCAGAUGGAACAGGACGUGUCGUUAUGUUUACUGUGUGUGGCUGUCAGUGCUUAGCAGUAAGGUGUGCUUGGUUAUUAGCAAUGUCUGGUUCCUGUAUCACGAACCCUACGCCUGCAGCUUUUCUCCUGCCUUUGCCUCUCAGCUGUGAAUUACUGCACUGGUGUGUCUGUGCUCAGGACUACCCAGAAGGAAACACACAAGGCCCAUUUCUGGACUUCAUGAGCUACAAUGUUCGGUGCUGCACAGGUGAGCAUGGUGUGGACAGCAGCACAUGGAUGGGCAUGUCAGGGAAGUACCACAGGGAAGAGCACAGCAAUGCCUUCGAUUCCCCCAGGCUCUUCUCAUAACAUCCUAUGCAAAAUGUCUGCAACAUGGGGAUGUUGAGCAUAGCAAAAGCACAAGCACUAGCAUCGCCAGUGGAAACACUUAUCUGGAAAGAAUGUUCUUCAUUGCACCAUUGGGGAAAUUAAAUCAAAUUAAGCCGUUUCAUUUGUUGGGGUAGGAGAUUAUUCCUCAUUGUGCCAGCAAAUUCUUUACUUGCCUCCAUAAGGAAUUCAUCCAAAGUCUGAAUUUUGAAUGGCUCCAAAAUAAAACUAAUUUAAGCAGUGUCAAACGCUUACUGUCAUUCCUUCCUUAUCACUCGGAAGUGAAUCCCUUCAUUUUUCUCUCUCAUAACUUAUGAACUGCAGCACUUAUAUCUAAAUUUAGGGGGGAUGCUGUUUUGUUAUAGUGUGGACUUUACCUUGUAUAUUAACAUCUGCUUCAAAGAGAAUGUAUGCACAAGCUCAGGAGAACCAACUGAUAUUUCUUUCAGCCUGAUGGUAGUCCAGGUUGCCUCUGGUAGGCUGUAUGUGGUGUGGAAGCAAAGAGCAUGGUAGUCUGGGUAGGCUGGGGCAGCAUUUGGGUCUAUUAGAGCAGAGCUGGUGUUUGUUGUGCAGUGCGCUCCAGAGUGCUUAAUGCAUGGGUCCAUCUUAACACUGAGCUAAGAUGGGGUAGUGUCUGCUAAAUAUAAGGCAGGUUUGAUGAAGUAGAUCCUUUAUUUUGGCAGUAGGCAAAGUAGUGCCAAUGGAAACGGUGCAAACCUGGCCGCAGUGUGUCUGCCCCGGCAGUCACAAGGAAGGGUAGGUAUGCCAGGCAGCACCUGAGUGUGUUCCACAGCCAGCACCGGUCUGCCAAACCCAAGGUAGCAACAGCAGUGAUGCACAGGAGGAAGGAAGUGAUGGUUUAUCACAUUACACAGACCAGCCUGCACACAGCAUGGGGCACAGGGAUGCCCACAUGCCUGUUUGGAAGCUGCCUCCUCCAGAGCAGAGCAGGAGGGCUGGAGGGGAGGCACUGCAGGAGAGUGGCU
ensembl:lncRNA